GCACCAUCCAGAGAAUCGCUGUCGCAGCUCACGCACCAAAAGCCAUUGCGCUUUCUCACCUUUUGCUGUGGGGAAAGUCCCCGGAGACCGCACAGAGCCGCCCGUCAAACACCGGAGUCCAGCUCGUCACACUUGGAGGAAAGCGCCUGUCCUAAAAUACGAUAGGAAGUGUGAUCUCCGUAUGCAAGACGGGCGCAUAGGCGUCACUUGUUAUAUCACUUGCCAAGCGGUGCAUGUGACUCGAAAGACGUGCUCUGCCCCCCCGUGCAUGCUGGGUAUCCCGGCGGUGUCUUCCAGCUCCGUAAAGUCCGAGCACGAUAUUAUGCGCUGGCGAAGAUAGGAGCCGUGCGGAUUCGUCUAGGAUGGAGCUGGGGUAAAGCCGUCCGGAGAGUAGUUGCCGGGACCAUGUUGCUCAUAGCCGAUAGUUAUGCGAUUGCGUCUAUCCUGGCCUCGGCCAGUACGGUCGUAACCCAAUGGGGCUCAUUCCUGAAUGGUG
rnacentral:RNase_MRP_RNA from 2 species